UCCGCCGCCAUAGGAUGGGUCUGCGGCUAAUUAGGCUGUUGGUGGGGUAAUGGCCCACCAACCCAAAGAUCAGUAUGGGCCAUGAGAGUGGUAGCCCAGAGAGGGACACUGAGAUACUGGUCCCAGCCCCACGGGGUGCAGCAGGCGCGAAACCUUUACAAUGCACGAAAGUGUGAUAAGGGGAACCCGAGUGCUCAUGCUUUGCAUGGGCUUUUGCUAAGACUAAAGACCUUGGCGAAUAAGUGGUGGGUAAGACUGGUGCCAGCCGCCGCGGUAACACCAGCGCCACAAGUGGCAAUCACGAUUAUUGGGCCUAAAGCGUCCGUAGCCGGUUUUGUAAAUCCCUUGUGAAAUCGCCAGGCUCAACUUGGCGGCGUGCAGGGGACACUGCGAAACUCGAGACCGGGAAGGGUCAGAAGUAUUUCUGGGGGAGCGGUAAAAUGCUAUAAUCCCAGAAGGACUACCUAUGGCGAAGGCAUCUGACUAGAACGGAUCUGACGGUGAGGGACGAAAGCUAGGGGAGCGAACCGGAUUAGAUACCCGAGUAGUCCUGGCUGUAAACGCUGUGAGCUAGGUGUUGCAUAUUCUACAUGAAUGUGCAGUGUCGAAACGAAGGUGAUAAGCUCACCGCCUGGGAAGUACGGUCGCAAGACUGAAACUUAA
rnacentral:rRNA from 1 species